UACGUAGGGUGCAAGCGUUGUCCGGAAUUAUUGGGCGUAAAGAGCUCGUAGGCGGUUUGUUGCGUCGGCUGUGAAAUCCCGAGGCUCAACCUCGGGUCUGCAGUCGAUACGAGCAAACUAGAGUGUUGCAGGGGAGACUGGAAUUCCUGGUGUAGCGGUGAAAUGCGCAGAUAUCAGGAGGAACACCGGUGGCGAAGGCGGCCAACUGGACAGAUACUGACGCU
rnacentral:rRNA from 1 species